rnacentral:rRNA from 1 species
UGAAGGCUGAAAUUCGCCUUCAUGAAGCUGGAAUUGCUAGUAAUGGCAGGUCAGCAUACUGCCGUGAAUACGUUCCCGGGCCUUGUACACACUGCCCGUCACACCAUGAGAGUUGGGAAUACCCGAAGCCUGUGAGCUAACUUAUAGAGGCAGCAGUCGAAGGUAGAAUCAAUGAUUGGGGUGAAGUCGUAACAAGGUAGC